CCGAAACGAAGUGAUCUAUCCAUGAGCAAGUUGAAGCUAGUGUAAGAACUAGUGGAGGACUGAACCCAUAGGCGUUGAAAAGCCCCGGGAUGACUUGUGGAUAGGGGUGAAAGGCCAAUCAAACUUCGUGAUAGCUGGUUCUCUCCGAAAUAUAUUUAGGUAUAGCGUUGUGUCGUAAUAUAAGGGGGUAGAGCACUGAAUGGGCUAGGGCAUACACCAAUGUACCAAACCCUAUCAAACUCCGAAUACCUUAUAUGUAAUCACAGCAGUCAGGCGGCGAGUGAUAAAAUCCGUCGUCAAGAGGGAAACAACCCAGACUACCAGCUAAGGUCCCUAAAUCUUACUUAAGUGGAAAACGAUGUGAAGUUACUUAAACAACCAGGAGGUUGGCUUAGAAGCAGCCAUCCUUUAAAGAAAGCGUAAUAGCUCACUGGUCUAGUGAUUUUGCGCGGAAAAUAUAACGGGGCUAAAGUAAGUACCGAAGCUGUAGACUUGACUUUGUCAAGUGGUAGGAGAGCGUUCUAUUUGCGUCGAAGGUAUACCGGUAAGGAGUGCUGGAGCGAAUAGAAGUGAGCAUGCAGGCAUGAGUAGCGAUAAUUAAUGUGAGAAUCAUUAACGCCGUAAACCCAAGGUUUCCUACGCGAUGCUCGUCAUCGUAGGGUUAGUCGGGUCCUAAGUCGAGUCCGAAAGGGGUAGACGAUGGCAAAUUGGUUAAUAUUCCAAUACCAACAUUAGUGUGCGAUGGAAGGACGCUUAGGGCUAAGGGGGCUAGCGGAUGGAAGUGCUAGUCUAAGGUCGUAGGUGCUUAUACAGGCAAAUCCGUAUAAGAAUACACCGAGAACUGAAAGGCUUUUUGAAGUCUUCGGAUGGAUAGAAGAACCCCUGAUGCCGUCGAGCCAAGAAAAGUUUCUAAGUUUAGCUAAUGUUGCCCGUACCGUAAACCGACACAGGUGGGUGGGAUGAGUAUUCUAAGGCGCGUGGAAGAACUCUCUUUAAGGAACUCUGCAAAAUAGCACCGUAUCUUCGGUAUAAGGUGUGGUUCGCUUCGUAUUAGGAUUUACUCCGAAAGCGAAGAAACUUACAACAAAGAGUCCCUCCCGACUGUUUACCAAAAACACAGCACUCUGCUAACUCGUAAGAGGAUGUAUAGGGUGUGACGCCUGCCCGGUGCUCGAAGGUUAAUUGAUGGGGUUAGCAUUAGCGAAGCUCUUGAUCGAAGCCCGAGUAAACGGCGGCCGUAACUAUAACGGUCCUAAGGUAGCGAAAUUCCUUGUCGGUUAAAUACCGACCUGCAUGAAUGGCGUAACGAGAUGGGAGCUGUCUCAAAGAGGGAUCCAGUGAAAUUGUAGUGGAGGUGAAAAUUCCUCCUACCCGCGGCAAGACGGAAAGACCCCGUGGACCUUUACUACAGCUUGACACUGCUAUUUGGAUAAGAAUGUGCAGGAUAGGUGGGAGGCUUUGAGUAUAUGACGCUAGUUGUAUAUGAGCCAUUGUUGAGAUACCACUCUUUCUUAUUUGGGUAGCUAACCAGCUUGAGUUAUCCUCAAGUGGGACAAUGUCUGGUGGGUAGUUUGACUGGGGCGGUCGCCUCCCAAAUAAUAACGGAGGCUUACAAAGGUUGGCUCAGAACGGUUGGAAAUCGUUCGUAGAGUAUAAAGGUAUAAGCCAGCUUAACUGCAAGACAUACAAGUCAAGCAGAGACGAAAGUCGGUCUUAGUGAUCCGGUGGUUCUGUGUGGAAGGGCCAUCGCUCAAAGGAUAAAAGGUACCCCGGGGAUAACAGGCUGAUCUCCCCCAAGAGCUCACAUCGACGGGGAGGUUUGGCACCUCGAUGUCGGCUCAUCGCAUCCUGGGGCUGGAGCAGGUCCCAAGGGUAUGGCUGUUCGCCAUUUAAAGCGGUACGCGAGCUGGGUUCAGAACGUCGUGAGACAGUUCGGUCCCUAUCUGCCGUGGGCGUAAGAAGAUUGAAGAGAUUUGACCCUAGUACGAGAGGACCGGGUUGAACAAACCACUGGUGUAGCUGUUGUUCUGCCAAGAGCAUCGCAGCGUAGCUAAGUUUGGAAAGGAUAAACGCUGAAAGCAUCUAAGCGUGAAGCCAACUCUAAGAUGAAUCUUCUCUAAGCUCUCUAGAAGACUACUAGUUUGAUAGGCUGGGUGUGUAAUGGAUGAAAGUCCUUUAGCUGACCAGUACUAAUAGAGCGUUUGGCUUAUCUUUAAUAAAGCAU
rnacentral:rRNA from 1 species